GAAGGGAGCUAGCGUUGUUCGGAAUCACUGGGCGUAAAGCGCACGUAGGCGGAUUUGUUAGUCAGGGGUGAAAUCCCGGGGCUCAACCUCGGAACUGCCUUUGAUACUGCAAGUCUGGAGUCCGGAAGAGGUGGGUGGAAUUCCUAGUGUAGAGGUGAAAUUCGUAGAUAUUAGGAAGAACACCGGUGGCGAAGGCGGCCCACUGGUCCGGUACUGACGCUGAGGUGCGAAAGCGUGGGGAGCAAGCAGGAUUAGAUACCCUGGUAGUCCACGCCAUAAACGAUGGAUGCUAGCUGUCGGCAAGCUUGCUUGUCGGUGGCGCAGCUAACGCAUUAAGCAUCCCCGCCUGGGAGUACGGCCGCAAGGUUA
rnacentral:rRNA from 1 species